GAUGAAGAACGCAGCGAAAUGCGAUAAGUAAUGUGAAUUGCAGAAUUCAGUGAAUCAUCGAAUCUUUGAACGCACCUUGCGCCCUUUGGCUAUUCCGAAGGGCAUGCCUGUUUGAGUAUCGUGAACACCUCAACUCUCAUGGUUUGCCAUGAUGAGCUUGGACUUUGGGGGUUUUGCUGGCCUUUGGUCGGCUCCUCUCAAACGGAUCAGCUUGCCAGUGUUUGGUGGCAUCACAGGUGUGAUAACUAUCUACGCUUGUGGUUUUCCAUCAAGUCACCUUCAGCGAUGGAGGUUCGCUGGGGCUCAUAAAGAAGGCCUCUCCUCGGUGAGGAUGGCUCCUUUGAACGUUUGAUCUCAAAUCAGGUAGGACUACCCGCUGAACUUAAGCAUAUCAAUAAGCGGAGGA
rnacentral:misc_RNA from 1 species